GAUGCGAUGAUGAGAUGAAAGCACUGGAAGUGUUUAUGGGCAGUGGAUAAUACCGUGAGCCUAUUUAAUUAAACGACUUCUCCUUCCACUGAGCUCA
rfam:Beta vulgaris subsp. vulgaris chromosome 3, whole genome shotgun sequence.